GGGACAUUAGCUCAGUUGGUUAGAGUACUUCCUUGACAUGGAAGGGGUCGGCGAUUCGAGUUCGCCAUGUCCCACGA
rnacentral:tRNA from 1 species